UGAGGAACAUGACCUUCGGCGGGGGAUAGCCGGCCCAACGGCCGGGUAAUACCGCGUACGACCUUUUGGGGACAUCCCCGAUUGGUGAAAGCAGCAAUGCGCCGAAAGAGUGCCUCGCGGCCUAUCAGCUAGUUGGUGGGGUAAUGGCUCACCAAGGCGACGACGGGUAGCUGGUCUGAGAGGAUGGCCAGCCACAUUGGGACUGAGACACCGGCCCAGACCUCCGUACGGGGAGCAGC
rnacentral:rRNA from 1 species